rnacentral:lncRNA from 1 species
UUUUUUUUCAUAGUACUGCAUAAUAGUAAUUAAUUGUGAACCAUUUUUAAAUCUUCAAAGGCAUUCUGACAAAAAUGAAGUUAAUAUUAUAUUUAGUGUUAAUUGAAUCUUACUGAAUGUGAUUUCUUUGAGUAUGGUAAUUUUCAUCUGCCAUACAUGUAAUUAUGUCUUAACCUGAUUAGUCAAGUAAAUGGAAUGGCCUGUUUUACACCAUUCCAAUUUUUAAAGAGUUAAGAUAGUUGCAAUUAAUCAAAGACACUGAGAAGAGCUAUUUUUUUGUUUCCUUGAGCACCCAGGAUAUGCUGGUAUUUAAAAU